rnacentral:pre_miRNA from 1 species
UUUGCAGCAACUUGACUACAGUUUGACUGAAUGCCAAGCCUUGGUUCUAGCACCAACUCGGGAGCUUGCUCAGCAGAUUGAGAAAGUUAUGCGAG